UGCAAGUCGACCGAACAGACGAGGAGCUUGCUCCUCUGACGUUAGCGGCGGACGGGUGAGUAACACGUGGAUAACCUACCUAUAAGACUGGGAUAACUUCGGGAAACCGGAGCUAAUACCGGAUAAUAUAUUGAACCGCAUGGUUCAAUAGUGAAAGACGGUUUUGCUGUCACUUAUAGAUGGAUCCGCGCCGCAUUAGCUAGUUGGUAAGGUAACGGCUUACCAAGGCAACGAUGCGUAGCCGACCUGAGAGGGUGAUCGGCCACACUGGAACUGAGACACGGUCCAGACUCCUACGGGAGGCAGCAGUAGGGAAUCUUCCGCAAUGGGCGAAAGCCUGACGGAGCAACGCCGCGUGAGUGAUGAAGGUCUUCGGAUCGUAAAACUCUGUUAUUAGGGAAGAACAAAUGUGUAAGUAACUAUGCACGUCUUGACGGUACCUAAUCAG
rnacentral:rRNA from 1 species